rnacentral:rRNA from 1 species
UGGCGGACGGGUGAGUAAUGUCUGGGAAACUGCCCGAUGGAGGGGGAUAACUACUGGAAACGGUAGCUAAUACCGCAUAACGUCGCAAGACCAAAGAGGGGGACCUUCGGGCCUCUUGCCAUCGGAUGUGCCCAGAUGGGAUUAGUUAGUAGGUGGGGUAACGGCUCACCUAGGCGACGAUCCCUAGCUGGUCUGAGAGGAUGACCAGCCACACUGGAACUGAGACACGGUCCAG